ACUGAAUGCUGCUCCUUCAACAGCGCAUUCGUGUGAGGGCGUGCACGCUUGUGCAACCAACUAACACUCUGGAGAAUACACAAGGGGAGUUCUGAAGGAGGUCCAGCAGGCUACCAGCUUGGAAGGCAGGUGGAGAAGGAGUUGUGAUCUUUGGCCUGCAGUCUACAGACGGUUCAGUAGUGGAACUUCCCAUGACCCUGGCGGCCACCAUUCAUCCCUAUCAGGAAGGUGUGAAGCAUUUCCAGCCGCGCCCGAAUCCACAUUCCCAAACAACGCAGUGUGCCAGUCCCUCACGAGCCCCACAAAUGCCAC
rnacentral:lncRNA from 1 species